UCAUCUAUCCAUUUAUUCAGUUUCCCUUUCCCUCAAUCUCUCUUCCUGGCUCCUCUCCUCUCACUAAGACGUCGAUAUCUCUCAUCCUGACUCGCUCCCACCGUCCUACUUCCUUCCGCUACCAUCAUCAUCAGCUCCGUCCAUCGCCAUCAUCAUCAGCUCCGUCUGUCGCCAUCAUCAUCAAAUCUCGAUCCAUGGGCUUGGUUGGGAUUUGUCUUCAGCAAUUGCAAGGGGCUUGGUUCAUGGUCGGCGGAAAGGCUUUGGCGGCGACAGAGGAUUUAGUCGAUUAGGUUUCUGUGUGUGUGUGUGUUUUGGUUUUGGGCUCAACUCUUGGGUUGGGCUCUUCUUUUGUUGGUGUUUUGGAGGUUCUUAGUUGUUUUGUGGCUGUUGUAAAUUUGGGCCUCCAGUUGUGCUUGUAAGUUUUGUG